rnacentral:rRNA from 1 species
UACGUAGGGGGCGAGCGUUGUCCGGAAUUAUUGGGCGUAAAGAGCGUGUAGGCGGUUCGGUAAGUCUGCCGUGAAAACCUGAGGCUCAACCUCGGGCGUGCGGUGGAUACUGCCGGGCUAGAGACGGUAGAGGCGAGUGGAAUUCCUGGUGUAGCGGUGAAAUGCGUAGAGAUCCGGAAGAACACCGGUGGCGAAGGCGGUUAGCUGGGCAGUUGCUGACACUGAGGCGCGACAGCGUGGGGAGCA